rnacentral:rRNA from 1 species
GAUAGCGAAGAAAGUACCGUGAGGGAAAGGUGAAAAGAACCCCAGUCGGGGAGUGAAAUAGACUAUGAAACCAUAAGCUUACAAUAUGUAGGAGGCUUUUUAAAGGCUGACUGCGUGCUUGUUGAAGAAAGAGCUGGCGACUUAGAAGGCGAGGCGUGGUUAAGAGAUAGAUGUCUCGAAGCCAAAGCGAAAGCAUGUCUGAAAAGGGCUUUUGUCUUUCCUUCUAGACCCGAACCUAAGUGACCUAUCUUUGGACAGGAUGCAACCCAGGUAAAACUCGGUGAAGGUCCGAACCGUGUGAUGUUGAAAAAUCAUCGGAUGAGCUGAAGAUAGCGGUGAAAUGCCAAUCGAACUUAGAGCUAGCUGGUUCUCCUCGAAAUGCGUUGAGGCGCAGCGUUCAUUUAUGUAAUUUGAAGGGGUAAAGCACUGUUUCGAUGCGGGCUGCGAGAGCGGUACCAAUUUGUCACAAACUCAUAAUACUUCAAACAAUUCAAAUGAGCAGUGAGACUAUGGGGGAUAAGCUUCAUUGUCGAGAGGGAAACAGCCCAGAUGACUCGUUAAGGCCCCAAAAUAUGUGCUAAGUGAUAAAGGAGGUGAGAGUGCAGAAACAACCAGGAGGUUUGCUUAGAAGCAGCCAUCCUUUAAAGAGUGCGUAAUAGCUCACUGGUCAAGGAUUCUUGCGCCGAAAAUGUCCGGGGCUCAAGUACAUUGCCGAAGCGGUCAAUUUUAUGGUAGAGGAGCGUUCUCCUUCACGUAGAAGCUUCACUGUGAGGUGAGGUGGAGAGGGGAGAAGUGAGAAUGUCAGCUUAAGUAACGAAAACCUUGGUGAGAAUCCAAGGCUCCGAAAACCUAAGGUUUCCUCCGCAAGGUUCGUCCACGGGGGGUUAGUCAGCACCUAAGGCGAGGCCGAAAGGCGUAGUCGAUGGGAACCAGGUUAAUAUUCCUGGGCCAGCGGGUAGUGACGGAUUGCGGUAAUUGUUCACCCUUACUGGAUUGGGUGAGCAGUGAAGUCGUCCCUGGAAAUAGCUCCCGCAUUAGACCGUACCCCAAACCGACACAGGUGGUCAGGUAGAGUAUACCAAGGCGCUUGAGAGAAGUAUCCUGAAGGAACUCGGCAAAUUGCCUCCGUACCUUCGGAAGAAGGAGGCCCUCUCACUGGGCAACCAGUGUGGAGGGGGCACAGGCCAGGGGGUAGCGACUGUUUAUCAAAAACACAGGACUCUGCUAAGUCGGCUUCAAGACGACGUAUAGGGUCUGACGCCUGCCCGGUGCUUGAAGGUUAAGAGGAGGAGUGCAAGCUCCGAAUUGAAGCCCAAGUAAACGGCGGCCGUAACAAUAACGGUCCUAAGGUAGCGAAAUUCCUUGUCGGGUAAGUUCCGACCUGCACGAAUGGCGUAACGACUUCCCCACUGUCUCCAGGAUAUGCUCAGCGAAAUUGAAUUCUCCGUGAAGAUGCGGAGUACCCGCGGUUAGACGGAAAGACCCCGUGCACCUUUACUGCAGCUUCAGAGUGGCAUUAGGAAAGAGUUGUGUAGCAUAGGUGGGAGGCUUUGAAACUUGGGCGCCAGUCCAAGUGGAGCCAUAGGUGAAAUACCACCCUGCUGUUUUCUGAUGUCUAACUAACUACCGUUAUCCGGUAGUAGGACCCUCUGUGGCGGGUAGUUUGACUGGGGCGGGCGCCCCCCCAAAAGGAAAGGGGGGG